GAAAGAUCGGGACACGGAGGAGGUGAAAGAGGUUGAACAUAUGUGGUUUUCGUGGAAGGGUCAAUAGAUUCUACUAUGCUUGGCAAACUUAAUGGCAAGGCUUCAUUAUCCUGGACGGGUACUUGUGGUUGAAGAAAGCUUGCACUUUGCUGCUUUUCGCGAGGGUCUGGAUAUGGAAGACCUGCAACAAUCAGAUGAGCUGCAGCGGCCGUUGCCAGAAUCACUGCAACAGUGAUGAAGAGGCACCUAUGUGGAUAUGCUGUAAUAAAGCCGUUAUU